AUAGUUGGGGUGGGGAAGAGGGGGUUUCGGACAAAGCUCGAGCGUGUCAGAUUAAUCUUCUCAUUUUGCUUUCCG